AACCAUAGAAACCUGCGGAGUACCUGCGGAAGGAUCAUUACAGAGUGUUUAACCCCCUAUAAAAUGGUGGGUCUAACCUCCCGUCCUUUGCUGGGUCCCCCUUCUGGAGGACUUUCAAAACUUUCUGCUUCGGCGGGGUAUACCCGCCGGAACACCCUCAAAAAAUUCUUGAUCAAAAUGGUUCGGUCCGAGAAACUUUUUGUGAAAAUUAGCGAAAAACUUUUAACAAUGGAUCUCAGA
rnacentral:misc_RNA from 1 species